AGGGGUAUAGCUCAGUAGUAGAGUGUCUGCCAUGCAUGAGGUCCUGGGUUCAAUCCCCAGUACCUCCA
rnacentral:tRNA from 1 species